UUACCUCGCCAGCUCCUGAUAGAUUUCCAAUUUCUCGCGCUUUCCCGUGCCGCACGCCGCACCGGCCAGCUGCACUGCGCCGUCAUAUCCCCUGCUACCCCAGGGAGGCCCGGCCCUGCCCUGCCGGCUCCCGUGCCGCCCGGCGAGGCCCUGCGCCGCCGGCUCCCGCUCCUUCCCAUCGAGGCCCUGCGCCGCCGGCUCCCGCGCCUUCCCAUCGAGGCCCUGCGCCGCCGGCUCCCGCGCAAGCACGGCUAGGCCCUGCUCCGCCGGCUCCCGCGCCGACCCGGCAAGGACCUGCGCCGUCGGCUCCCAUCCCGCUCCAGCAAGCUGCUGCCUGUAGACGUCCGCGCCGGCCGCCGUUUCAAAGGUACUCCCGCGUACUUCCCCUGCCGAGACCCUACGCCACCGGCGACCCUCCUGUCGACGCGGCUGACGAGCUGCAGUAGUCCACGCUUGGUGCCGUUGCCCCCCAACCCCCUCCCGCCGUCCCGGUGAUAGUUUCCCACCGCUGCGCCGCGUCCUCGACUCACCCGCCUCCGGUCGUCCUGGAGAGACCCUGCGCGGAUGGAGCCUUCUGGUCCGCCUGUCUCCCAUUCACUGCUUUCUUUGAUUCCUUAUGUGCUUUGUGAAGAUGUAUUUCGAUUUCCUACAUUUCAAUUUAUGCAGUGAUCUCAUGUCUUUGCUAACUGAUCUAGCCUUUAGGUUAGUUUUAUGAAUUCAUGCUGUCAGUAUCUAUCGUCAUAUGUUUCGUAUAUUGAAAUUCAUUCCCAGGUUAUAGUUCCGUGUAUAUGCAGAUUCGCUGCCCUCACACACUGAAGAUGUUCAGCGUGGUUCGCCGCAGGACUACUCAACUAGAAGGGUGGACACUGGACAAAGGUUGGUGGAUAUGAUGCCUAUUAAUCCCAAGAUUGUUGUGUUUGAGAGCACACAAGAGAGGUUUGAGGUUCCUCUCCGACCCGAUAUGUGUGGUCCUCUCCGGUGGCCUUGGGUCGUCUGUCCAAGCUGCUUGUCGUAAGACCAACGAAUCUGUCUAUCCUGCUGUUGAUGGUGUCCACUGGAAGAAGAAGCUGGGGUCCUCACAUCGUUAUUCAAAGGAAAAGAACAAGUCACCCGGCAAUUCUAGGCAAUUAACCGAUUAUUUCGAUACCCGUGAAGGCACAGAGGUAUUGAUGCAACAAUUAAUUGAAUUUUCAUGUUACAAAUAUACACACACUAUUUGUGCGCAUAGAUAUUCACUUAUUCCUUGGUGGGUGCACCAACUCAUUGACUGUAUGUAAAUAGGUUUUAUGAAUUUUUUCCCUCAUGUAAUCUGAUCCCAUAGUCUCUGCCCAGAAUAACGUGUAUCAUGUAGCAGCAAUAUAUCUCCUGUUUCACUCUUUUACAUAGUUCAUAAAAUCUCAAGUGUUUCGUGCAUCUGUACUGCUUUCUUGGUGUAAAAUCUCAAUUUGGUAUGGCAGUGAAUUGUUAGAUGAAGGUAGGAGUCUGAUAACAAUAGUUGUGGACCUAUGUAGAAGGUUGUUAAAUCUUAAUGUGUUUCAUGCAGCUGUACUGCUUUCUCAUGGCUUAAAAUAUUCUCAUGCCAUUUUCAAACUAUCUAUUGAACUCAAUGCAUUUCUACCCUUGCUCGGUUCCUCCAAUAUCAAAACAGUGUGCAAAGCCAUCUCAAAGUUUGAACAUUAGGUGCAACCUUCGUGACGUCAUUUUCACUAUUCAACCGCUGAACCAUGACCAGUAUGCGGCCAUCGAAGCUCUAGGCUUUGGUCACCUCCUCAGGAUGCAGAUUGAUGCUGUGGAGAGCAGUGAUUUGCUUACCUGGAUCAUGGAUAGGGUCAGCCCAGUUGACAUGAUAAUACGCAUUGGUCCAGGCAAGGUGUUUCCAAUUACACCUUCAAUAAUCCACAUGGUUUUUGGUUUGCCAACAGGAGGUUCCACCUUCCAAUCUUUUUCUCGAGCGGAAGUUGUUCAGUUUUGCAAGCAGCUGAUUAGUGAACUAAAUGAGGAGUGUAUCUCUGAUGACGAUCUGAUCCACAUAUCCAAUUUGUAGGAGGAGAUACUAAAGGGCCAGGUGGACUCGCUUUUCAUGAUAUGCUUCUUUAUGAUUGUUUUUCAAUGGACUGUUGUUCCCAACUAGCAGCUCUGACAUUGAUUUAAGCAACAUCAGCAAGGCUAUGCAACCUGAAUUUCUCAGUGCAGUUGACCUGUCCCAGUCUGUAUUCAAUGAUCUUUAGGCCUCAGUUUGUAGAUGCCAUGGGAGGAAUAAGGAACAAUUCACGCAGACAAUAUAUGGCUGCGCUGUAUUUUUAAUUGUGCUAUACUUGGACAACCUUCACCACUCCCUCUCCCCCUCUGACUGGGUAUCCACCCCUCAAGUCAGGUUCUACAACAAUGCCACGAUACAUGGUCUGACCAUUGCAGACAGGGUUCAGGGAAGAGAUGGAUCCAAGACUUAUGGUUCCAUAAUGGCCCUGUUUGUUUCCGCUUUUCUGGAAGUCGCUUCUCGGAGAAUCAAGAUUCUGAGAUAAGCUAGCUGUCUGGAGAAUCGGCUGUCUGAAUAAGCUGGGUGUUUGGCAAUCCUGAUAUUUUGAGUCAAUUCUCUGAGUUGAGUGGUAAAAUGUCUGAAAUACCCUUAAAGCUGAUGAUAUCUCAUUUUUUGCUGAAUACAAGCAGAAGUCAAUAGUACUUAUAUUUUUUAUGUAUCUUGACUAAAUAAUUAUAUUACAGUAAUAUCAAAUAUAUUUGAAAGUUUUUUGAAACCAAAAUAUACUUUCAAUUAAAUAUACAUUUCCUUUUUUUCUACUAAUCUUUAUUGAUUCUCUCCCUACUUUUUUCCUACUCUAUCAUCCUUAUCUCUUCUCCAAUCUUCCUCUCGUGGCUGGGUGGCCGCUGGCUCCACUACACUGCACCGAGUGCCAGGCUCAACGCCAGCUCCCGUGGCUAGGUGCGCGGGCCAAAGCGGCAUCGGCCCGGCGCAGCAGCAGCAAGGGAGGGCGGCGGCACGGCAGCAGGGGCGGGCGGACGGCGGUGCAGCAGCAGGGAAGGGAGGGCGGCAGCGCUGCAGCAAGGGAGAGAGGGCGGCCGCACGGCAGCAGGGGCGGUCGGGGAGAGUGCUGCAGCAGGGAAGGGAGGGCGGCGGCGCUGCAGCAGGAGGAGCGGGGCGGCGGCGCAGGGGUCGGGGAGCUCCUGCGCCCGCUGGCCGCCUCCGCCCGCGGUCGGCGCGGCAGCAGGGGGUGGGCGGCGUCGGGGAGAGAGACGAAGGGCAGCAACGAAAAAAGCCCAUCGCUUACCAGCGAAGCGAGCUCGGGGACGCGUUGGUGGGAAUCGUGAUUCACGUUGUCUCCAUGAUUUCCACGGAAGCGGCGUUCCAAACAAUCGGAUUUUAAUCGAGGCGUUUGGGUGGGUUUCUUGCUUUUCUCCACCGAGAAUCCGCUUAUAAGCGGAAACAAACAGGGCCUUAUUCUGCUGUCAUGGAAUUUAAUUUCACAUGGCAGAAACAUGUCCCUUCAUAUUUAUGUUUGCUGGGGUAAUCACUUCCAGCUCCUACUUUCCCGCUUGCGAUCGUAAGCCUAAGAAACAUAUCCCUUCAUGUUUUUAGCAUUGGUCAGCCAAUAUGUUCAAACGACGAUUGAGUUUUGUUACUAAAUUUGAGUUUGGUUCUAUUUAA